rnacentral:lncRNA from 1 species
GUGCGUCGCUCUUUUUUGUCCAUCGUCAAGACCGAUCGGGUUUGCCAGCGGAGAAGAGGAUUACAUUUUUCCAUCGUUUUUCUCAAUUAUUGCAUUGGAAAAAUUAGUUGUUCUGCAGUAAACUGUGUUAACCGACAUGUGAAAUCGGGAUCUUUGCAGUUGUUUCGGUAAGUUAUGUUUUUUUAUGAAGUCAUCAGCUUGCUAGCUACAUAACAUUAAACGGUCUGGUUUAAUUUAGCUAAUGGGGUUUACUUACAGAUACCAAGCGGUAAGUUCUGUGCCUUAUUUAAGCGUUUUUAUUAGAAGUUAAACAAUGAGGAAACCCCUUAAAAUCCGCCUUCUUUUUAUAACAAUACUAUGACUACGUGACUUUGAAUUUGAAUUAAAAACCGUACCGAUCACACAGAUUCAUACUAGCAACCAAAUACUACCACAGAGUAUCAGGGCAUGAAAUGAAAACUCGAGGCAUGAAGUCAUAAUGUUAAAGGAAUUAAUUCGCAUUUAAGUCAUUCCCCUAAUAUUGCAUCACUUUAUGAGAACAAGGCCAUGUAAAUGAAUAUAAUGAGAGUCAUGAUGUUAUGAGUCGAAGUUUUGGUAAUGGAUCAACCAGUUUUACUCGGGUAUGUCACAACGAGAGCAGCCUGCGCUAAAAUCAGGUAUGUUAAUUUAAUGGUAUGUAUAUUUAAUUAACAUUAACAUUAACAUAUGUAUAUUUAAUUAAAAUGCAUCUUUCGGAUGCACCGUCCUAGCUUUCUGGCAGAGGAUUGACCGCCGGUUCAGUCUCCUCCGUACAGCGGCAGUAGUAUUACAGCUUCUGGUGACAUAACGAUAUUUGUCUAAGAUAAAGCUCUGAAACUGUCUUUAAUGGGACAAAACGUCGAGAAAACGAGACCCUAUAAGUGUAUAGAAGGACAUGCUCAAAAGAUUACUUAUACAAGUUGCAUAACUGUUAUUUAUUUUAUGUUAUCAAAUAACAUACACAAGUCAUAAGUAUACUUCUGUGGAAUGACAAUUAUCAUUUACAGCAGCAUGGUAGAUCAUGUCUAAUUUAAGUUUUCAAGAUAGAUAGAUAGAUAGAUAGAUAGAUAGAUAGCCCUGUUACUUAUAAGAUUGAGAUAAAACUAUGAGUAAUGUAAUUAGUUGUGGAAAGACAGCUGCAUAUGACAUACUUAAUCAAUCACAAUGACAUUAAAAUUUUUGUUACAUGCAAAGAAAUCCCUCAAUUGUGAUAGGAUGUUCAUAAGACAUAUCACUCACAAGAUGAAAUGAUUUAGAUUAUUUAUACAGUUUGUAUAUUCAUUCACUUGAGGUAUUUUUUGUGAUUGUCUUUGAAUUGAGUUUUGGCUUCAGCCUGUUAUGCAACAAAGCAAGAAUUAAACUGAACGCAAAACAUUAACUUUGUGUUGUUUACAAACUUGACAAAUGGCAGUAAGCAAUGUUAUUGUAUUUUUGUAAAGUUUCCCUUUAGGUGACAAAGCGAGGCUGAAGCAGUGGCUGGUGAACACAAGACGGCAGGACUGGAAACCAACAGGAUCAUCACGUCUUUGCAGUGCUCAUUUUGAAGAGCAUGCCUUUACUGUGGACUCAAAGGUUAAAUUAUUUCUUUUUUAAUGGACAGCAAUUUUUAUGAAGUUCACAUUUGCAACAAUUUAUUGUUAAAUUGACUAACACUUUGAAUCAUAAAAUGGCGGUUAUUUAAACAUUCCCAAGAGCUGAACACUACAACUAUCGUGGUAUCGUUUUAAAUUACUGCUGUUUUUAUGUUUUCUAAAAUUAGGUAUUUGCAUGUAGUUGUAGUGUCUGCUACCAUCUACUGGUCAUUAUUAGGUAGUGUCAUCAGUCAUUUUCAGUUUAAGUUGGCGCAGCCUGGAGUAAAAAAAACAGGAAUCAUGUUGCAAAAAAAAUUUGAGUGAUACCACAUGAACAACUUCUUAUGCUUAGACCAAAUGUGCCCUGUUAGAUAAAGGUAACAGCACUAGCCAAGUAGUAGUCUCUAAGAAUGCUAACUAAAUGAAACCUUUUAAAUAAUUGGACAAGUAUAUCAAAACCUCUAAAGUUUUCAUGCUGAGCUACCACCUGGUUUGAGACAUAAGUGUCUUAAUGAAUUUAAGUACUGGUAUUCACAAUUUAAUUGAUGAAUUUCUUUGUGUUUUUCAGACUUCAUCACCAACCACUGAUGAUAUGGUGGAUUCAUCUGCUGCAGCCUGUUUCCUUUCCACCCAAUGCAACUCCCAAAGUACUAGAUUAUAUCUUUUUAAGUUCCUGGUAAAAUAACAAACAUACAGGUUUUCUGCAAAGGAGUUAAGUAUUUAUAAAUCACAAAUAAAUACUAAAAUGCUAGUGUCCUCUCACAAGUGUCCAUGUCAUGCUAUCUGAUUUACAUUAAUUACAUGCUGUUCACUACACAUAUUGUCAGUUUGUUUUUUCAGUUUUACCACACUUUGUCCACUUCAUGGUGAGGACUCGCACACAGAAAGAUGGAAAAGACAAAUGUCUUGAAAAGUUGGAUCCAUUUUAUUGCUAGGAAUAAAAUUGAUCCAACUUUUGAGACAUUUGUCUUUUCCAUCUUUCUGUGUGUGAGUCCUUUACAGCCUUUUUGAAUUGUCUUAUCUGACCAUUGCACCAGAAGAAAGAAUACUAGGACUGAUGUUAAGCUCUUUUCUUGUUAAUCACUUGAUGAUGAGUACAUAAGAAAUGCAUUGACUUCGUUGUGGUAUGUUUUUUUCUUUUGAUAGCUUUACAUGAAAAAUAAAAUUUUGAGACAAAUACUCUGGAAUAAUAAAGCAUAUACUGUGUUUU